rnacentral:rRNA from 1 species
GACGAACGCUGGCGGCGUGCUUAACACAUGCAAGUGGAGCGACGAACCAGGCUUCGGCCUGGGGCAGAGCCGCGAACGGGUGAGUAACACGUGGGUAACGUGCCCCAAUGAUCGGGACAACCCGGGGAAACCCGGGCUAAUACCGAAUGUGCUCCCCUCACACCAGUGAGGGGUGGAAAGGAAGCUUCGGCCUCCGCAUUGGGAUCGGCCCGCGGCCCAUUAGCUUGUUGGUGAGGUAACGGCUCACCAAGGCUGCGAUGGGUAGCUGGUCUGAGAGGACGAUCAGCCACACUGGGACUGAGACACGGCCCAGACUCCUACGGGAGGCAGCAGUGGGGAAUCUUGCGCAAUGCGCGAAAGCGUGACGCAGCAACGCCGCGUGGGGGAAGAAGGCCUUCGGGUUGUAAACCCCUUUCAGGAGGGACGAAGCCCGGGCGGUUAAUAGCCGACCCGGGUGACGGUACCUCCAGAAGAAGCCCCGGCUAACUACGUGCCAGCAGCCGCCGUAAUAC